rnacentral:rRNA from 1 species
CAGCAGCCACGGGAAUACGUAGGUGGCAAGCGUUGUCCGGAAUUAUUGGGCGUAAAGGGCUCGCAGGCGGUUUCUUAAGCCUGAUGUGAAAGCCCCCGGCUCAACCGGGGAGGGUCAUUGGAAACUGGGAAACUUGAGUGCAGAAGAGGAGAGUGGAAUUCCACGUGUAGCGGUGAAAUGCGUAGAGAUGUGGAGGAACACCAGUGGCGAAGGCGACUCUCUGGUCUGUAACUGACGCUGAGGAGCGAAAGCGUGGGGAGCGAACAGGAUUAGAGACCCCUGUAGUCCCUGUCUCUUAUAC